CCUACGGGGGGCAGCAGUGGGGAAUUUUGCGCAAUGGGGGAAACCCUGACGCAGCAACGCCGCGUGAGUGAUGAAGGCCUUCGGGUCGUAAAGCUCUGUCAGAGGGGAAGAAAUGCAGGGGUGCUAAUAUCAUCUUUGCUUGACGGUACCCUCAAAGGAAGCACCGGCUAACUCCGUGCCAGCAGCCGCGGUAAUACGGAGGGUGCGAGCGUUGUUCGGAAUUAUUGGGCGUAAAGCGCGUGUAGGCGGUUUGGUAAGUCUGAUGUGAAAGCCCCGGGCUCAACCUGGGAAGUGCAUUGGAAACUGUCAGACUUGAAUACGGGAGAGGGUAGUGGAAUUCCUAGUGUAGGAGUGAAAUCCGUAGAUAUUAGGAGGAACACCGGUGGCGAAGGCGGCUACCUGGACCGAUAUUGACGCUGAGACGCGAAAGCGUGGGGAGCAAACAGGAUUAGAUACCCUAGUAGUC
rnacentral:rRNA from 1 species